UACGUAGGGCGCGAGCGUUGUCCGGAAUUAUUGGGCGUAAAGAGCUCGUAGGCGGUUUGUCGCGUCUGCCGUGAAAGUCCGGGGCUCAACUCCGGAUCUGCGGUGGGUACGGGCAGACUAGAGUGAUGUAGGGGAGACUGGAAUUCCUGGUGUAGCGGUGAAAUGCGCAGAUAUCAGGAGGAACACCGAUGGCGAAGGCAGGUCUCUGGGCAUUAACUGACGCUGAGGAGCGAAAGCAUGGGGAGCGAACUGG
rnacentral:rRNA from 1 species